rnacentral:rRNA from 1 species
GGUAACCUGCCUGUAAGACUGGGAUAACUCCGGGAAACCGGAGCUAAUACCGGAUAGUUCCUUGAACCGCAUGGUUCAAGGAUGAAAGACGGUUUCGGCUGUCACUUACAGAUGGACCCGCGGCGCAUUAGCUAGUUGGUGGGGUAAUGGCUCACCAAGGCGACGAUGCGUAGCCGACCUGAGAGGGUGAUCGGCCACACUGGGACUGAGACACGGCCCAGACUCCUACGGGAGGCAGCAGUAGGGAAUCUUCCGCAAUGGACGAAAGUCUGACGGAGCAACGCCGCGUGAGUGAUGAAGGUUUUCGGAUCGUAAAGCUCUGUUGUUAGGGAAGAACAAGUGCGAGAGUAACUGCUCGCACCUUGACGGUACCUAACCAGAAAGCCACGGCUAACUACGUGCCAGCAGCCGCGGUAAUACGUAGGUGGCAAGCGUUGUCCGGAAUUAUUGGGCGUAAAGGGCUCGCAGGCGGUUUCUUAAGUCUGAUGUGAAAGCCCCCGGCUCAACCGGGGAGGGUCAUUGGAAACUGGGAAACUUGAGUGCAGAAGAGGAGAGUGGAAUUCCACGUGUAGCGGUGAAAUGCGUAGAGAUGUGGAGGAACACCAGUGGCGAAGGCGACUCUCUGGUCUGUAACUGACGCUGAGGAGCGAAAGCGUGGGGAGCGAACAGGAUUAGAUACCCUGGUAGUCCACGCCGUAAACGAUGAGUGCUAAGUGUUAGGGGGUUUCCGCCCCUUAGUGCUGCAGCUAACGCAUU